GACGAACGCUGGCGGCGUGCUUAACACAUGCGAGUCGAACGGAAAGGCCCUGCUUUUGUGGGGUGCUCGAGUGGCGAACGGGUGAGUAACACGUGAGUAACCUGCCCUUGACUUUGGGAUAACUUCAGGUAACUGGGGCUAAUACCGGAUAGGAGCUCCUGCUGCAUGGUGGGGGUUGGAAAGUUUCGGCGGUUGGGGAUGGACUCGCGGCUUAUCAGCUUGUUGGUGGGGUAGUGGCUUACCAAGGCUUUGACGGGUAGCCGGCCUGAGAGGGUGACCGGCCACAUUGGGACUGAGAUACGGCCCAGACUCCUACGGGAGGCAGCAGUGGGGAAUAUUGCACAAUGGGCGGAAGCCUGAUGCAGCAACGCCGCGUGCGGGAUGACGGCCUUCGGGUUGUAAACCGCUUUCGCCUGUGACGAAGCGUGAGUGACGGUAAUGGGUAAAGAAGCACCGGCUAACUACGUG
rnacentral:rRNA from 1 species